UACAGAGGAUGCAAGCGUUAUCCAGAAUGAUUGGGCGUAAAGCGUCUGUAGGUGGCUUUUUAAGUCCGCCGUCAAAUCCCAGGGCUCAACUCUGGACAGGCGGUGGAACUACCAAGCUGGAGUACGGUAGGGGCAAGGGGAAUUUCCGGUGGAGCGGUGAAAUGCGUAGAGAUCGGAAAAAACACCAACAGUGAAAGCACUCUGCUGGGCCGACACUGACACUGAGAGACGAAAGCUAGGGGAGCGAAUGGG
rnacentral:rRNA from 1 species